rnacentral:sRNA from 1 species
AAGAGCCGCACCCCCCCCCUCCGUCCUGCGCGCGGCCUUUCAUGACGCGGUCGCUCCUUAUUCUUGUGCCUCGGCCUCUCUGGUCGCCCCCGGACAAAGCCACCGGAGCCCGGCCGCUCCAUUCCCGCUAAAUCCGCUUCGGGGUCAAUGCGCUACCAGCACCGGGCCGCGCGCUUCUCCUGCCAGCCGUGUGGCUCUUAAAGAGCCGCACCCCCCCCCUCCGUCCUGCGCGC